rnacentral:rRNA from 1 species
UACGUAGGGGCGAGCGUUGUCCGGAGUUACUGGGCGUAAAGCGCACGCAGGCGGUGCUGCGCGUUUGGGGUUACAGUUCCCGGCUCAACCGGGAGAGCGCCUCGAAGACGGCAGCACUUGAGGGCCAGAGAGGGACACGGAACUCCGGGUGGAGUGGUGAAAUGCGUAGAUAUCCGGAAGAACACCAAAGGCGAAGGCAGUGUCCUGGCUGGUACCUGACGCUCAGGUGGCGAAAGCUAGGGAGCGAACGGG